rnacentral:lncRNA from 1 species
UUGGAUGCACUCAAUACAAGAAAUUUGAGGAUUGACCAUUUACAAAUAAUUGCCAAUCUUCUUUACUUUGUUUGGGCUGACUUUAUAAGACUCUCUUUUCUCUCUAAUGGAUUUUCCCCCUUUCCUUUUUUAGAAGCUGGAUCAGUAAAAAUAAAGGAUGUUGUCCAGAAAUUGGCUGAUGCUCAAGAAUUUACGGGGCCUACUGAAUUACAAAAGGCAUGGACUAUUGUCACCAAUAUCACUGAUGGGAAAAUCAAAAAGGCUAAUAUAUUACCAACCCUGGAGAGUUUGGGAUUCAAUUUAAAUGAUGAAGAUCUUCAAGAAGCAUUGAAAUCUUUCCAGACAGAUGGUGGUAAGUCCUUUCAGAUAGUCGCGAGGUACGAGUCACGCCGAGUACAUGAAAAUAUGUGUCCUUUCUCAUGACAAAGCUAACAUUUCAGUCAUAGUCUCAGGCCCAAAUGCUACUGACCGAUUUCCAGUUUUUCCCAUUAAAUGCAAAUGGUGAAUUUCUUUCCCAAGUAAUUUAUACUUUGGAGUUUAUCAAAUACCAGGUGAAUUUACUUAUUUCUUUUCCUUCCUUAUCCAAUCUAUUCCAAUGAUACACUUUUUCUAUCUUUUGAAUAUUUUUGAUAAUUAUUGCUUCACAGUAUAAGUGGAGAUUAGGAAGUACUAUUUCCUUUUUCAUUCCUACACUCCCUUCUCCCAAAUAUAUUCUUGAGAUUCUUGAACUUUUAUUCUGAGGAGAUAAUUUUUAAAAUUCAGGUCUACAACUUUUAAUUUUGACCUAAUCUAUACAACACCAAGUUUUUCAGAUAAUUCUGAGGUCUCGGCUUUCCCUGUCUUUGUAAAAAUUGCUUUAUUAGAAUCCUUUCCAUUACAAUAUUUGAUUUCUCCCUAUACUUUUUUUGGUAGAUCUUAAAGAUAUAGACCUACGGGAAUUUAUCAAGAAAUAUUCUGAAAUCAAAAACUGCAAGAAGACCCAACGUGAGUAUGAAUGAACCUUUUCCAUUCCUGUAUUGGCAGUAAUGGUUGGACAUUUUUAUGGAUAGGGAUUUAAUUUUUUGCAGUUUCUCCCCAUUCCUUUCCAUUUUCAGUAAUUGAGUUACCCCCCCCCCCUCCCCAAUCUUGGUGGUCAAGUUUUGUGUUUGUAACCAGUCAAUCUAUUAACGUAGCUUUACAAGUAAAAUUUAUUAAUGCAACUUCUAGAUAAUGACCUCUUUCCAACCACCCCAGGAAUUAAAAAUUCCCUUGUAG